rnacentral:rRNA from 1 species
UGGCUCAGGACGAACGCUGGCGGCGUGCCUAAUACAUGCAAGUAGAACGCUGAAGACUUUAGCUUGCUAAAGUUGGAAGAGUUGCGAACGGGUGAGUAACGCGUAGGUAACCUGCCUACUAGCGGGGGAUAACUAUUGGAAACGAUAGCUAAUACCGCAUAACAGCAUUUAACCCAUGUUAGAUGCUUGAAAGGAGCAAUUGCUUCACUAGUAGAUGGACCUGCGUUGUAUUAGCUAGUUGGUGAGGUAACGGCUCACCAAGGCGACGAUACAUAGCCGACCUGAGAGGGUGAUCGGCCACACUGGGACUGAGACACGGCCCAGACUCCUACGGGAGGCAGCAGUAGGGAAUCUUCGGCAAUGGGGGCAACCCUGACCGAGCAACGCCGCGUGAGUGAAGAAGGUUUUCGGAUCGUAAAGCUCUGUUGUAAGAGAAGAACGUGUGUGAGAGUGGAAAGUUCACACAGUGACGGUAACUUACCAGAAAGGGACGGCUAACUACGUGCCAGCAGCCGCGGUAAUACGUAGGUCCCGAGCGUUGUCCGGAUUUAUUGGGCGUAAAGCGAGCGCAGGCGGUUUAAUAAGUCUGAAGUUAAAGGCAGUGGCUUAACCAUUGUUCGCUUUGGAAACUGUUAGACUUGAGUGCAGAAGGGGAGAGUGGAAUUCCAUGUGUAGCGGUGAAAUGCGUAGAUAUAUGGAGGAACACCGGUGGCGAAAGCGGCUCUCUGGUCUGUAACUGACGCUGAGGCUCGA